GUGCAACAGAAUAUGAGCUGCAAGGUAUCAUAUUUUUGUUUGGUAAGAGCAUGUUUUUUUAGUUCACGUGACACAUGACAUAUUUUACGGAAUGUUAUGGGUUCAAUGGUGGUUCCCCAAAAAGAUAUAUUGAAGUCCUAACCCCCAGUACCUUCCAAUGUGACUUCAUUUGGAAAGAGGACAAUUGCAAAUGUAAUUAGCUACAUUAAGAUGAGCUGAUGCUGGAGAAGAGUGGGUCCUUAAUCCAAUACGGCUGGUGUUCUUAAAGGAAGAGGAGAGACACCCACAGGUAGAUGAACGCCAGGUGAAGACACAGGCCGCAGAGACAAGGCCAUGUGACAGCAGAGACAGAGAUUGGAGCGAGGCAGCUGCAAGCCAAGGAGCACCAAGGAUUGGUGACCCUCAUGGGAAACUAGGGAGAGGCAAGGAAGGGUUCUGUCUUCCAAGUUUCAGACGGUUUCUCCCAGGACUGCCUCAGAAUCUGGCAGCUGGUUUCCCCCAGAAUGAAGACCCAAGAGAGUGUAAGAAAAAAUACCUAAGCAGAGCUACAAUUUAUAACUACUUCAGAAGUGAUAACCCAUACUCAAGGGGAGGGAAUUACAUAAAGAUAUGAAUACCAGAAGGUAAAGACUUUCCUCCCCUAAAUUAUUGAGAACUCUCCCACCCCUUUAGAAAGAGUGGUGAGUUUCCCUGCCUAUUCAUGAAUAUGGCUUAUUGCUAAGCCUAUUCAUGUCAAGUUUAUGAGGUUCUCUUGGGCACUGGAAAAGUGAAGAGGUUAAAGACAUUAUUGUCUUUGUUCUAGAGGCUACAGGCAAAUAAGCUGUCCCUUAAUUUUGGUCAGUCAGAAAUUUUGGUCUCCUAUACAAGAAGACUAGAGCUGUCUGAUGCCAUAGGAAACCACUAAAGAACAAUACGACCAGAUUUGCUUUUAAUGAAAAAAAUUGCUUUAGUAAAGAUACAGCGAGUGAUUUGCGGAAGAGGUAGAGGAUUCGGUUAUGGAUCGUUGGCAAUAAUGCAGGCAGGGGAUGAUGUGGGCUGAAUUAGAGCAGUGGCAUUUGCAGUGAGUAGAUUUGAUACUUAGAAGAAAGCGUUUAC
rnacentral:lncRNA from 1 species